rnacentral:rRNA from 1 species
AUUGAACGCUGGCGGCAGGCCUAACACAUGCAAGUCGAACGAGUGGCGGACGGGUGAGUAAUGUCUGGGAAACUGCCUGAUGGAGGGGGAUAACUACUGGAAACGGUAGCUAAUACCGCAUAACAUCGGAUGUGACCAGAGGGGAUUAGCUAGUAGGUGGGGUAAAGGCUCACACAGGCGACGAUCCCUAGCUGGUCUGAGCGGAUGACCAGCCACACUGGAACUGAGACACGGGCCAGACUCCUACGGGAGGCAGCAGUGGGGAAUAUUGCACAAUGGGCGCAAGCCUGAUGGAGCCAUGCCGCGUGUAUGAAGAAGGCCUUCGGAUUGUAAAGUACUUUCAGCGGAGAGGCGUUACCCACAGAAAAAGCACCGGCUAACUCCGUGCCAGCAGCCGCGGUAAUAC